UGGAAUGUUGGGUGCUGUUCA
rnacentral:siRNA from 1 species